UGGAGGCCUGAGAAAGUGAGGCAGUUCUGUACCAUGCUGCCUUCCACCGGUUAAGGCCUCCAACAGCAAACAGCUGCCUACACAGAGAGUGUCCCUUUGCCACCCUCAGAGGGGCAGCGCUGUCCUGGCCGACAUUUG
ensembl:snoRNA SNORA47 small nucleolar RNA, H/ACA box 47